AGGAUUAUAGUUUAUUUAAAACAAUUGAUUUGCAUUCAAUAAUUAUUAUUAUUAAUUUAUCUUA
rnacentral:tRNA from 1 species